rnacentral:lncRNA from 1 species
CAGAAUCCUGGCGGCCUCCACUUGGCCGGCAAGGGCCUGGCAGCCGUGUUUGUUGACAAGGGGCUGGGCCCUGCCGGACAUGUCCUGGGAUGGUCUCAGCAAUCCCCAGGAAAAGGAAGGAAAGGAAAAUGCUGCCCAGGAGAGUGUCCCGGCAGGGGCCCUCGACGGGAGCCAGGACUCCAAGAUGCACCAAGAGGCCACCCAUCUCCGGUCACGGGUCGGAAAGGGUCUGAUUUCCCAGAACUCGGCGGAAACCAAGCCACACACUUCAGCCUAGGUUUUCUAGGUUCCCACGUGUCUUGUUAAUUUACCAUUAGGGCAAUGCCAGGUGGCUUGGUCAGGUGGGAGUGGGCAGGGCCAACCUCAGGAACGCUGAAUACCUGGUCCUUUUCCAGGUGCCUGGAGGCGAAACCCUUUCUUCCACUGGUCAUUCAGUACAGGGUUAUCAAGCACCUACAAUAUUCCAGGCACCGUUCUAGAUGCUGGCGAUGCAACAGUAAACAAAAGUCAAUCUAGGGUAAUAAUAAUUUAUUAUUGUGGUAAAUAAUUAUUACAUAAUGGUAUAAUAUGACAUGAUAUGAUAUAUGAUAUAGUAUAUAUAAUAAUGUGUAAGUGUAUGGUCAUCCCUACCAUGUACCGAGCACUCAGUAGACACCAGGCACUAGUGCUUAGUGCCCUAUGUUCCCUGUAACCUUCACAACCUCUCAUGUGUAGUAUUAUUAUCCCCAUUUGACAGAUGGGACAAUCAGGGCUCAGAGAAGCUAGGUCCCAGCUGGCCCUUUGGCGAGUGCGAGUUAGGGAGUUCGAGGCCCAUCCUGGUUCAGGUCCAGCUCUGCCCUCUGAAGUCCAGCCUGACCCCUCCAUGUCUCUAUGUCCUGCAGAUCCUGGGCUCCUCCUCAUGCCGGGAUCUGACCCCAGGAUCCCCGCUUCAGUGCUGGCUCAGCCUACCUUUCUCAGCAGCUAGCCCGCCCAGAGGGAUGGCUGGAGAAGAGGACCCAGGGACCAGUUCAGGCAGGUGCUGGUGGCAUAGAG